rnacentral:rRNA from 1 species
UCGAUUCCCUUAGUAGCGGCGAGCGAAACGGGAAGAGCCCAAACCAACAAGCUUGCUUGUUGGGGUUGUAGGACACUCUAUACGGAGUUACAAAGGACGACAUUAGACGAAUCAUCUGGAAAGAUGAAUCAAAGAAGGUAAUAAUCCUGUAGUCGAAAAUGUUGUCUCUCUUGAGUGGAUCCUGAGUACGACGGAGCACGUGAAAUUCCGUCGGAAUCUGGGAGGACCAUCUCCUAAGGCUAAAUACUCUCUAGUGACCGAUAGUGAACCAGUACCGUGAGGGAAAGGUGAAAAGCACCCCGGAAGGGGAGUGAAAUAGAACCUGAAACCGUGUGCUUACAAGUAGUCAGAGCCCGUUAAUGGGUGAUGGCGUGCCUUUUGUAGAAUGAACCGGCGAGUUACGAUUUGAUGCAAGGUUAAGCAGUAAAUGUGGAGCCGUAGCGAAAGCGAGUCUGAAUAGGGCGUUUAGUAUUUGGUCGUAGACCCGAAACCAGGUGAUCUACCCUUGGUCAGGUUGAAGUUCAGGUAACACUGAAUGGAGGACCGAACCGACUUACGUUGAAAAGUGAGCGGAUGAACUGAGGGUAGCGGAGAAAUUCCAAUCGAACCUGGAGAUAGCUGGUUCUCUC